AGCCUAACUUUCCCUUUCCCCUGCCAUAGUCUCCUCCAUUGCUCCCAUUACCUCUCCCACCUUCCAUAUUGUCUUUGUGCAAGAAAAAUGUGUUGGGGGGCUCCCCGUAGACACCUGGGCCACCCAUGUGUACAGAAUCAUUUACAACCAAAUGCUUCUUGAAGUUUGGAUGCAGGAAUGUAGUUCAGAACAUGUUGUUACACUAACUGGCUGUACAGCAGCACAUAUAAAUGUGAACAGCCAGAAUGGCAACAACCUGUGGGGCAGUAGGGCAGCACAGCCUGGAGACCACAGAAAAUCACUGCACAUUCUGGCACUGUGGGCUCUGCUCAGACCCAACAACUGCUGCUGAGCUUUUCUGUGCCUUCUUCUAGAAACUCUUCCUCUUCCAACCGUUUCUGUGAUUCCCUUGUUGAGGAGUGCAUUCAGUGCAGGUAGCUCGGGGUGCAGCUGCAGUGUCAGCCGCAGGUUGGGCUCUGGUGGUGAGAGCCCCAGGCAAGGGGCCAGGAACUGGCACUGACCCUUGGCACAGCAGAGGGCACAGGACCUGUGGCACAGCCAGGUGACUGGACAGACACAGCAAGAGCCAAGGACUCAGCUGGAGAGCCAGGACUUUGUCACUCACAGAUUGGGAGGGUAUAAAAGUUCAGUGUUUGCUCUGUACUUUUGAGGCUCUGCUAAGGAAAACCCAGGCUCCAGACGGCGCACUGCUGUACCUGCUGUCCCCACUGCAAAGGGCUUCUCCCACCCCUGCUGCUUGCGUGUCCAGUGUUUCACCGAGCUUUAUAGCCAACGGCAACAAAAGCAUUCAGUGAUGGCACUGGGGUCUGAACGUGCAACU